CAGGGCCAGGAGCCGGAGGGCGGGGCCAGGGUCCGAGGAGGGCGUGGCUGGACUCCGGGCGCGAGUGGAAUCGGGGCGGGGCCGGGCAUCUCCGCGCGCCCUGGAUCGUGGCUCCGGGGCUCCGGCCCCAAUUUCUCGCAAGCUGAGCGCACCCCGGGAGAGGAGUCGCCUCGACCGGGCGCACCUCCUGUGGUCAGUCUCGGGCGCUGGUUCCCCACGCCGGCCCUGUCAGGGCGCAGUCGGUCAGCUUUUCAUUAGCAGAAAACCCCGGUCGGCACGCCGGCGCCGCGCAGACGUCUCGGUUCAGGGUGAGGCCGUCGCCAGCUCCGGGGCGUGGGCAAGACCGCUUGGGGGCAACAGGAGCCUGUUUCUUGUUGAAUGCCGCCGCAGCGUCAGGGAGCGCUGGAACACGUGGCAGUGGUGGACUCUGCUUGACCUUGGGCUGACUCCAGGCUCCCAUCAGUGAUUAGGGCACUCAAACUCGCCUCACACCGACCAGUGCCCGAUCCAAAUCCAGAUCCCUCUGGACUCAGCCCCCUGCAGGGAGUCCCGCUGUUUUCCCUGUAGGUCUGAAUCCAAGUCGGGACCUUGGAUGUUCCUAGGCACCCAUAAAGCUGCUUAAGUUGUUCCUCAAAUAUACUGGGAGAUAACUCUGUUCCUAAACAGGUAGGAACUAGCCCCAGACUUGAACUAAAUCCCUGAAGCCCUCUUCUAAACUCCGUAGCCAGACCCCCCUCCUUGCAGACAAACUUUGGUAGAACCUAUCUGGUCUCUAGGAAGCUGGGCCCUGUAAGUUCCCCUAGUAAGUGCUGAAGAAUUAGUACUUCUUAACUUGAAAUCUCAACUUGGGAUGGUUUAGGGCACUCCCUUGUGGGAAUCCCCCUAUAUUGCCCUUGAGGUGUCUCCAGCCUUUGUUUCAGCAGGGUUCCAAGCUGUAAAUGUUUCCGGAAACAUCCCGACUAAAAAGCUAUUUUCAAAGAGAUGCUGUAUCUCCAGGAGCACAUUGGUAUCCUGACAGACAAGCCAGAGCUAUGCAACUUUAAACAGGCAAGGACAGAUGGGGCACUCUAACAAGGCUAGUACUCUCCUGGACCCACUCAAGUCUCACAGUGAUUAAAAUGUACUAGGGCUUUUUUUAAAUCAGGUGUGAUAAGACACACACACAGAAAUGGAUGUAAUGAAAGAAUUUGGUUUAUGGACACAAGUCCCUAGAAACAAGAAGCAGGGCAUGCCACACAGGGCCAACUGGGAAGGAUCAGGAGUGGUCAGGGCAGAAAGGAGAUGGCAGAAUAUGGCCCAGGGCAGAAAUUUACCCCUGGUUUCUGGUUGAAGGACAGAUGGUACCCAGAUAUCUUGUUAGAAAAAACAUUUUCUAUGCACAGGCACCCAUAGAGUUCUGUCCAUGUGUUCUACCUUGCAUGGUGGGAGCAAAACCAUUGUAACAGACUCAACUGCUGAAAAUCCAGCAGCUCGGAGGCUGAAGCAGGUGGAUUGCAAGUUCAAACCAGCCUCAGCAAGAACAAGGCACUAAGCAACUCAGUGAAACCCUGUCUCUAAAUAAAAUACAAAAUAGGGCUGGGGAUGUGGCUCAGUGGUUGAGUGCCCCUGAGUUAAAUCCCUGCUAUAAAAAAAAAAAAAAGCAAAUAGUGACAUUUUUCAUGAUUAAUGAAAAUAAUUUUUUUUAAUAUUUA